UACGGAGGGGGCAAGCGUUGUUCGGAAUUACUGGGCGUAAAGGGUGUGUAGGCGGUACAUCAAGUCAGACGUGAAAGACCUAGGCUUAACCUAGGAGGUGCGUUUGAGACUGAUGAACUUGAGAUCGGGAGAGGAGAGUAGAAUUCCAAGUGUAGAGGUGAAAUUCGUAGAUAUUUGGAGGAAUACCAGUGGCGAAGGCGGCUCUCUGGACCGAAUCUGACGCUGAGGCACGAAAGCGUGGGGAGCAAACAGG
rnacentral:rRNA from 1 species